rnacentral:rRNA from 1 species
CACGUAGGCACCAAGCGUUGUCUGGAUUUAUUGGGCGUAAAGAGCUCGUAGGCGGUUCAGUAAGUCGGGUGUGAAAACUCUGGGCUUAACCCAGAGCCGCCACCCGAUACUGCUGUGACUAGAGUCCGGUAGGGGAGUGGGGAAUCCCUAGUGUAGCGGUGAAAUGCGCAGAUAUUAGGAGGAACACCGGUGGCGAAGGCGCCACUCUGGGCCGGAACUGACGCUGAGGAGCGAAAGCGUGGGUAGCAAACAGG